rnacentral:rRNA from 1 species
ACAAUACUUGACCUAGAGUGGCGUAAGGGUGCGUAACUCGUAUGCAAUCUGCCCUGUACAGGAGGAUAGCUCGGGGAAACCCGAAUUAAUACUCCGUGAUAUAGUUGGGAGGCAUCUUCUGAUUAUUAAAACUGAGGUGGUACAGGAUGAGCAUGCGUCUGAUUAGCUAGUUGGUAGUGUAACGGACUACCAAGGCGAUGAUCAGUAGGGGAACUGAGAGGUUGAUCCCCCACACUGGCACUGAGAUACGGGCCAGACUCCUACGGGAGGCAGCAGUAGGGAAUAUUGGUCAAUGGGUGAGAGCCUGAACCAGCCAUGCCGCGUGCAGGAAGAAGGCCUUCUGGGUUGUAAACUGCUUUUGACUAGGGGAUAAAAUUUCUCUUGCGAGGAAAAUUGAAGGU